GACAGAGGUGCCAAGCGUUAGGCGGAAUCACUGGGCUUAAAGCGUGUGUAGGCGGAUGUCUAAGUACCUUGUGAAAUCCCACGGCUCAACCGUGGAACUGCUUGGUAUACUGGAUGUCUUGAGCCACUUAGGGGUCAGCGGAACAAAUGGUGGAGCGGUGAAAUGCGUAGAUAUCAUUUGGAACGCCAAUGGUGAAAACAGCUGACUGGGAGUGUGCUGACGCUGAGACGCGAAAGCUAGGGGAGCAAACGGG
rnacentral:rRNA from 1 species